CAGGGGGCAAACAGGCCAAGAGUAAAAUGAAGCCGGGAACUACGACUCCUGCCACCUCCAGUGCCACACACUUUAAUCAGAGCUGGCAGAAAUUAAUUCAAGAGGAAUUUUUACAUGGCUCCACUGUCGUUUUCUGCUUCUCUGCUUGACUAGAAGAAUCCUAAUGAGACUCUCUUGAUAUCCCAAAACAAGGUUAGCUGUGCUUGAGUUUGCAUCAAACUAACUUGCUCGAUCUUCUUGUACAAUCAUUUCUUUCUGAAGGAGCAUUUUAAAGGCUACUAUUGAAUGUGGAUUUUAAAACAUUUUCUAUCUCCUACAAUACUCAUUUCAAGUGGGCAACUAGAUCACACGAAGGGGAAAAAUACGGAACCUGUAGUCUUGGUCUUCACAGGGAACCGAUGUCAGGAAAGAGAAGAUGUGGGGUGUCAGCUGGGAAUGAUCUUUGUAUUGUGAAAUGAAGUACCAGGAGGACUGGCCUAGCAGACAUCCUGUUUCCAGCAGGGUUGAGAUAACUGAAGAUUUUCAAGAGGAAGCUGUAUGCUCAAGAUCUUCUUACAGGGCCAUUGGAAUUCAGGAUCUGCCAAAGUGAUCUGCCUUUUCUUCAUUAAGUUAAAAUUUCGUCAACAUUAGGGGAAAAAAAAGUAUGUCUGGACUCUUUGACUUCAGUAGUAAGAGAAAGCAAUCUACUGAAAGCUUCCAAGCUAACUGAAAAGUCCUCAACAUAUCAGAUUUCGACCAUUAUCUACCCCUAUUGUAAAAACAAUGAUUCCACAUUUGUAUGUGUGAGACCCCUAAAGUAGAGGAAACUAAUGAUCUGAGGUCCUUUCUGUCUUAUUAUCCCCACCACACAUCCACUUCUUAAAGGCGCAGAUUUCAAUAAAAGUUGUA
rnacentral:lncRNA from 1 species